AAAUUUUCUAAAAAACAACAGCAAACAUAUCAAAGCCCUAGUUUCCAGUUUCAGACCAGUGGUUUCCAACUCUUCGACCACCAUCGUUCCCCCGCCCCCCGGUUGCCUCUCUCACCUUUGUCAGAUUAUACAAUGAAGUCCCUAAAUACGACAAAGGAAGAAUAAUAGGAGUCCGUGACCGAGUCAAUGAGAUCUUCUUCGGUAAAUCAUACAACCCAUGAACGUUGCUCAUUUGCUGUUGUUUUCAAGAAUUACUCCAAUUAACCUGAUUUUGCAACGAUUGCAAUAUAUCGAGGCGUUAAACUGGCCACUGGGGUCUGGGGAUACGAGUUUGAUAUAAGUUGCAUGGGUGACGAUGCCACAGCUAAGAAGUGGAGCAAGGAGAUCAAAACGGUUAGUUAAUCUCCAGCCUGCUACUCAUCCGAUUGACCAAACGGAAAACGUCACCGCACCAACGAGAACCAGAAGGAAGACGGGUGGUGGAAGGGGACGAGGUGAUGCUGCAGGUGUAAGAAAAGGGCUCGUGGCGGCAACGAUAGGUAGAACAGUAGUGGCUGGCGGUAGAGGCAGAGGUGUUAGAUUGAUUGAUUUGGACCUGGAACCACUGUGUGAAGUUGUUCCUGAACUUGUAGCUCGUGGAGUUGGUGAGCCUGUGUUUAAUAGAAUCGACGAGGUUGCAGAUAAAGAUAUAGCAAUGGACGGUGGAAGUGGUGAUAAAGUUAUCGGAGUUGAAGAAGAUGGAAACACACCUGCCGUGCCUGCCUGAAAGGGUACAAGUAGGUAACUCUCCUAUAUAUAAGACCGAUAGAAAGUUGGGUAAGGGUGGUUUAGGACAAGUUUAUGUUGGUCGGAGGGUAAGCAGCGGAACCGAAAGAACAGGGCCCGAUGCGUUUGAGGUAGCAUUAAAGUUUGAGCAUCGUAGUAGUAAGGGUUGCAACUAUGGUCCUCCAUACGAGUGGCAAGUUUACAGUUCGUUGAAUGGUUGUUACUGGGUUCCGUGGGUUCACUACAAGGGACAGCAAGGCGAUUUUUACAUUCUGUGACUUCCCUUGACCAAAUGUACAGUUCUAGUAUGAAGUUUCUCCAGGCA